GCGGCUGCUUCCGACCCGGCCUCUCGCGCUGGCUCUCGGCCUGCUGGGCUUCGCUCCUCGCACGUCACAUGCAGCGGCCCCUGCGCGCCUGGCUCAUCCCUGGCGCUGCUCCAUUCCGCCAGGCGCGGGCGGGUGGGGGCUCUGGAAAAAAUCAUUCUAAGAGACAAAUUAAAAGAAUAAUCUGUAAUAAGGAGACGUCAACAUUCCAUCACAGAAAAAAACUGAAAAUAUGUAAUACAUACAAAGUCCUGGGAAGAAACCUUGAAGCACAGGAAGGGUCUCAUGUAUAGUAGCAUGUUGAGAAAACUGAAGAGCCCUGUAAUCCUGAGGAGGGGGCCUAAUCCAAGGACAGAGAGGCUCCAGGUCCUGUGGACACACACGGGUUGCCUGCUUCUCCCCAUCUAGGAGCUGCUUCCUGAAGCCUUCAGGAGGCAGGAGGCUGAAUUUGUUUCUCAGGACAAUCUAAUCACAUCCUGACAGAAAAACAUUCAUGAUCUAGGACAGAUAAAAUAUGUAUAAUUAAAAUUUCAUUGAAAAUUGAGAAAUUUUGGUUGUAUGUAUUUAUAGUGAAUAAAGCUAUGUUAUGAUUUAUGAAUGCAAUAUGGAAUAAUUGAAUCAAGCUGAUUGACAUGUAUAUCACCUCAAAUCCUCAAAUUUUUAUUUUUGUGUGUGUGACAACGACAUUUGAAAUUUGUUCUUGGCUGUUUGAAAAUGACCAGUACACUAUGUUUCAGGUUACAAAUAGACAUCAAUUUAUGUAAACUAUAGGCAAUGAUUGAAAGGAAUUAUGGAUUACUAUAAUUUAUCUGUUUCAUUCUUUAGGAUAUAUUUUAUAAUUGUUAUAUAUUAUAAUUUUAUUAUUAAAUAUACAAGACCACAUAUAUGUAUAAGUUUGUGUAUUUACACAUAUGUCUAUAGAUGUAAAUUAAUGUCCCUAUAGCUAUGUAGUAGCUAAUAUCAACAGAUGUUAACAAAACUCUAAAAAGAACAAGUGCAAAUUAUUAGGAAGAAUUAUUUCUUGAAGGUAUGUAUUUUAAAAAAAUAACCUUACA
rnacentral:lncRNA from 1 species